ACCUAUUGCAGGAAGAUAGCCCGAGGAAACUCGGAUUAAUAUUCCAUAAUAUCAUUUUUACACAUGUAUUAAUGAUUAAAGCUACGGCGGCAAUAGAUGGGCAUGCGUACCAUUAGCUAGUUGGUGAGGUAACGGCUCACCAAGGUUACGAUGGUUAGGGGGUCUUAAAGGAUGAUCCCCCACACUGGUACUGAGACACGGACCAGACUCCUACGGGAGGCAGCAGUGAGGAAUAUUGGGCAAUGGACGCAAGUCUGACCCAGCCAUGCCGCGUGCAGGAUGACUGCUCUAGUAGUUGUAAACUGCUUUUCUAUUUCAUGAACCCCUCUGACGUGUCAGGGGCUGACAGUAGAAUAGGAAUAAGCAUCGGCUAACUCCGUGCCAGCAGCCGCGGUAAUACGGAGGAUGCAAGCGUUAUCCGGAUUUACUAGGUUUAAAGGGUGCGUAGGCGGGGUAUCAAGUCAGUGGUGAAAUCCUGCAGCUCAACUGUAGAACUGCCAUUGAAACUGAUAUUCUUGAGUAUAUUUGAGGUAGGCGGAAUGUUGUUAAGUAGCGGUGAAAUGCAAUAGAGAUAACCACCAGAACACCGAUUGCGAAGGCAGUUUACUAAACUAUUACUGACGCUGAGGUACGAAAGCGUGGGGAGCGAACAGGAUUAGAUACCCUGGUUAGUCCACGCCGUAAACGUUGAUCACUAGUUGUUUGCGAUACAUUGUGAGCGACUGAACAAAAGCAUUAAGUGAUCCACCCUGGGGAGUACGUUGGCAACGAUGAAACUCAAAGGAAUUGACGGGGGCCCGCACAAGCGGAGGAACAUGUGGUUUAAUUCGAUGAUACGCGAGGAACCUUACCUGGGCUUAAAUGUAAGACGACUAACAGGGAAACUUGUUAUCUUUCGAGCGUCCUACAAGGUGCUGCAUGGUUGUCGUCAGCUCGUGCCGUGAGGUGUCGGGUUAAGUCCCAUAACGAGCGCAACCCUUAUCGUUAGUUGCCAGCGGGUAAUGCCGGGGACUCUAGCGAAACUGCCAUCGUAAGAUGUGAGGAAGGUGGGGAUGACGUCAAAUCAGCACGGCCCUUAUGUCCAGGGCUACACACGUGUUACAAUGGUCGAAACAAAGGGCAGCUAC
rnacentral:rRNA from 1 species